rnacentral:lncRNA from 1 species
UUAGGAAUGAGGAUAUCCGAGGUAAAGUAGGAGUAGCCGAAAUUGAAGGAAAGAUGAGAGAAAAUCGGUUACGGCGGUUUGGACAUGUACAAAGAAGGCCUACUGACGCUUCGGUUCGAAGAUGUGACUACGGGUUAGAGGUUCAGGACCGAAGGGGUAGAGGAAGGCCUAGGAAAACUUUGGAAGAGACCCUAAGAAAAGACUUAGAGUACUUGGAUCUAACGGAGGACAUGACACAAAACCGAGCGCAAUGGCGUUCUAGGAUUCAUAUAACCGACCCCAUUUAGUGGGAAAAGGCUUUGUUGUUGUUGUUGUUGUGAGACAUGUAUUGGAAAGGGUAAUGCGAGAGGCCAUUUUUUAAAUCAUAUUUUUAUGGACUACAUGAUGUGUUUGUUGACGGUUUACUUUCUUUUUUAAAUUCUUAAUAUCAUAUAGUCUUACUUUAUUGCCACAUAUGUGUUUUACAAAAUUUAAUUUCAAAAGAUGGUUUCCCUAAAAUUUCUCCAUUGAAAAAAGUAAAACAUAUAGUCUCAAACAACAAAGUGUAUGCAAGUAGUAGUUAGGAAGAUAUGUCAAAGUGUCACCUUGAAAGAUUUAGCCAGUUAACCAAGGUUCCAAGAGUUUAUUUAUUUCAAAUAUCAGGUUACAACUUAUUGUAUAAUUGGAGCUGCUGCACUUGGGUAAAAUGAGGAAACCUUAAUUUAUUAUUAGUUAUUAUUCAGGACAGGAGACUAGCUGCAGCAGCAAAGCGGAUCUUUGUUCUUCCCAAACACCAUACACACGCCCUUAUUAAAAUGCCAGAAUUUGCAAGCCGCAUUGCAAACCUGACCCUGGGAAUUUGUUACAUUGACCGAGGCAUUUAUAAUUUUCGUUAAGUGCCUCUGCUGGCCUUGCCACUAUAAAUCCACAAUUAAAAAAUAAUCGGAUUAGUUAAUUGCAACGUUAAUCAAAGUAACAUGUAUAUGACUUUGUCAUUUGAUAAUAUAGGCCGUGAUGAUGAGAAAUUGAGGAUCUAAUUACCUAAAGUGAAAAGCAAAAUAAUGCAGAAAAAUCCAACCAAAUGCAGUCGACCUGUAGGACAAUUGAGUAAUGCAGCAGCCAUCGUAAAAUAUCUUUUUGUGAAGAUUUAUCACUUUUUUCUAAUUCCUUUGUUGACUGGUAUAGAUAUUAUAUGCAUACAUAAAAUAAGAGAUUGUAUGUUAUAAUAUUGACAUGAACUUUGUUGGCUUUUAUAAUUUGUUAGUUUUGAGCGUUCUCCAGUUUCCUAUAUAUACAUUUGGUAUGCUUUUAAAAGUCCGUUGACCAUAUCCAUAUCUGUCUAUAUUCUGGUCUUUGAUAUAUAAAAGGAGAAAUUAGGUUUACAUCCUUUUUUUUGCUACUCCAUUGAUUAAAAUCCUAUUCAUUUUCAAAUUUUGAUGAAGGUCAUUGGGUAUUAAUAACAUCAUUAAUUAUUUGAAUAAUAAAAUAUUUUUAUUUUUAAAUAUAUUCCUUUAGUGUUAAAAGCGUUACAAUUAGUAUAUUUAUAUUUAUGGCUAAAUUUUUUAUCAUAUAUUUUUAUUUUUAGUUUGUACCUAUUUUUAAUUUGUACCAAUUUUUUUUUCAUUUUUAAUUUGUACCCAUAUAUUAGUUUCUUUUUGUGCCCAUAUUUUUUAAAGUUUUAUUUGUGUUUGUACUCAUGUGUAUACCGUCACAUGACAUUGUAUAUUUAAUCAAUAAUAGAAAAAUUAUAUAUGGUAUAUUUAUGUUUUAUGCCUAAACUUUGUAUCGUAUAUUUAUAUUUUUAGUUUGUACCCACUUUUAAUUUGCAACAUUUUUUUAAAUUUGUAGUAUUUUAUUUUUAGUUUUAUUUUGUACCCAUGUAUUAAUUUCUUUUAGCGCCUAUAUUUUUUAAAAAUUCAUUUGUACUCAUAAUUUUUUAAUCUUUUAUAUGUACCCUAAUUUAUUUAUAAUGUAUUCAUUCUUCUUUAUUAAUGUACCACUUUGUUAUAAGUGAAAUGUACCAAUUUUUUUAACACUAUGGAUACAUUCUUUUGCCAUUUAUUAUUUCUUAUUUUUACAUAGUUUUUAUCCAUUUAUACAAUCAAAAUGUUUGAAUUUUUUUAUUGUAACCGUUUCUAAUACUAUUAUAAUGAGGGAUUUUAAAUUUAUAGGAUUAUAAAUCUCUUAAAAUAUCAAACAAUUAAUGUCAAAACUACAAAAAUAUAAAUAUUAAUUGUAAUAUAAUGAGGUGUACAAAGUCAAGGGACUUUGAUCAAACUUUGAAUACUAUUAAGGUUUUAGUCAAAGAAUGUUAAGGAUUAGGGAUCACAUCCAAACUAUCCCUAUAUAAAAAAUAAGAUUUUAGUUAAUGAAACGUAUAAAAUUGAGGAAUGGUAGAGAAACCACAUAUUUAUACAUAUUGCAUAUAAUCAAUAUCCAAUUAGAUAAUUUUGUUAAUCGUGGCAUGUACACAUCACUUACCAAAUCAAAUGGUACACAAAUAUACUAAAAUGUCGAUAUCAGGAACUAUUUUCCACACACAAUUUUUCUCUUCGUGCACACUUCGUGUAAUUUUGGCAUAUAAAUUAAAUAAAUAAAAGAAUAAUCAAUUGACCAUUGAACUGUUUUUUUGUUCGAAAAAUCGUUAGUCAAUGCUAGGAAACCAAAUUUGCAAACCAAAUUAUAUGUCACCAAUAAGAAAUAAGCAUGUUAAUCACACUAAUAAUCCAUUCAUCAACCACUACAUUUGGUUUAUAAAAUUUAGUUUAAAAUUUUGAUCUUCCUAACAUUGCUCAAAUUAAAAAUCGAAAAUCAUUACCCUAAAAAUGGGUGUAUCUGACUCGGCCCGAGGCUUUAAGGCCCAUGCUGCUUUGGACCAAAAACCCAUAUCAUCCAUGAUGCAAUAAAAAAAUACCGAGGUGACUUAUUUUAUUAUUAUUUUUUGUUGAACUCCCCCGUGACUUGACCACCAAGUAAUUGGAUUCCGAGUGGAAGAGAGAGAGAGAGAGGUUGGGUCUUCUUUCCUCACUGCUCUGAGUCUCUCCGACUUCUUUUCCCCGCGGCCCCGUUUAAUAUCACUAUCAUUCCAGUGAGUUUGCUUUUUUUCUAAUUCCUUCUUCUUUUU